rnacentral:rRNA from 1 species
GACGAACGCUGGCGGCGUGCUUAACACAUGCAAGUCGAGCGGAGCGGCGCACGGGUGAGUAACGCGUGAGUAACUGCCCCCCUCUCUGGGCUAACAGUUGGAAACGUAUGCUAAUACCGGAUAGUGGGGGAUGCCUCGAGUCCUAUCAGCUUGUUGGUGGGGUAGUGGCCUUCCAAGGAGACGACGGGUAGCCGGCCUGAGAGGGCGACCGGCCACAUUGGGCUGAGAUACGGCCCAAACUCCGACGGGAGGCAGCAGUGGGGAAUAUUGCGCAAUGGGGGAAACCCUGAUGCAGCAACGCCGCGUGCGGGAGGACGGCCUUCGGGUUGUAAACCGCUUUCAGCCAUGACGCGGUAGUGGCAGAAGAAGCACCGGCUAACUACGUGCCAGCAGCCGCGGUAAUUC